UACAUAUUGCACAAUGUUGAUGCUUACAAAAGCUUAAUAGGGAAUUCGGUGAAAUGCCGAAGCUGUGUCCGCAACUGUAAAUACUGCUGAAAUGAACAUAACCACUGCGAAAAGCGGGAAGGGUUCAAAGUAAAUCAAAGUAUGAGCCAGGAGACCUGUCAUCAUUGAUUGUAUCUA
rnacentral:ncRNA from 1 species